rnacentral:rRNA from 1 species
AGGUCUUCGGAUGCUGACGAGUGGCGAACGGGUGAGUAAUACAUCGGAACGUGCCCGAGAGUGGGGGAUAACGAAGCGAAAGCUUUGCUAAUACCGCAUACGAUCUCAGGAUGAAAGCAGGGGACCGCAAGGCCUUGCGCUCACGGAGCGGCCGAUGGCAGAUUAGGUAGUUGGUGGGAUAAAAGCUUACCAAGCCGACGAUCUGUAGCUGGUCUGAGAGGACGACCAGCCACACUGGGACUGAGACACGGCCCAGACUCCUACGGGAGGCAGCAGUGGGGAAUUUUGGACAAUGGGCGCAAGCCUGAUCCAGCCAUGCCGCGUGCAGGAUGAAGGCCUUCGGGUUGUAAACUGCUUUUGUACGGAACGAAAAGACUCUGGUUAAUACCUGGGGUCCAUGACGGUACCGUAAGAAUAAGCACCGGCUAACUACGUGCCAGCAGCCGCGGUAAUACGUAGGGUGCGAGCGUUAAUCGGAAUUACUGGGCGUAAAGCGUGCGCAGGCGGUUAUGUAAGACAGAUGUGAAAUCCCCGGGCUCAACCUGGGAACUGCAUUUGUGACUGCAUAGCUAGAGUACGGCAGAGGGGGAUGGAAUUCCGCGUGUAGCAGUGAAAUGCGUAGAUAUGCGGAGGAACACCGAUGGCGAAGGCAAUCCCCUGGGCCUGUACUGACGCUCAUGCACGAAAGCGUGGGGAGCAAA